rnacentral:rRNA from 1 species
CGUUGGCGGUGCGCCUUAUGCAUGCAAGUCGAACGGGGUUACAGUCUUCGGAUUGUAACCUAGUGGCGGACGGCUGAGUAACGCGUAAGUAACCUGCCUUAGAGUGGGAAAUAACCUGCCGAAAGGCAUGCUAAUGUCCCAUGUGGUAACGAAGCAAAUGCUUUGUUAUUAAAGCCUAGGGCGCUCGAAGAGGGACCUGCGUCUGAUUAGCUAGUUGGUAGGGUAAUGGCCUACCAAGGCGAUGAUCAGUAGCUGGUCUGAGAGGAUGGUCAGCCAGAUGGGGACUGAGACACGGCCCCAACUCCUACGGGAGGCAGCAGCAAGGAAUCUUGGGCAAUGAGCGAAAGCUUGACCCAGCGACACCGCGUGAGGGAUGAAGGCCUUCGGGUUGUAAACCUCUUUUCUUGGGGAAGAAUUCUGACGGUACCCAAGGAAUAAGCCUCGGCUAACUACGUGCCAGCAGCCGCGGUAAGACGUAGGAGGCGAACGUUAUUCGGAUUUACUGGGCGUAAAGGGAGCGUAGGCGGUUCCUUAAGUCAGAUGUGAAAUCUUCUGAUUCAAUCAGAAGGCGUCAUUUGAUACUGAGGGACUUGAGAGCAACAGAGGGAAAUGGAAUCCCCAGUGUAGCGGUGAAAUGCGUAGAUAUUGGGGAGAACACCAGUGGCGAAGGCGAUUUCCCAGGUUGUUUCUGACGCUGAGGCUCGAAAGCGUGGGGAGCGAAGCGGAUUAGAUACCCGCGUAGUCCACGCCGUAAACGGUGUGACACUAGAUAUGGGGAGUAUCGACCCUUUCCGUGUCGAAGCUAACGCUUAAGUGUCCCGCCUGGGGAGUACGCCGCAAGGCUAAAACUCAAAGAAU